rnacentral:tRNA from 1 species
GGGAAUGUGGCUUAGUGGUAGAGUGUUUGCCUAGCAUGCAUGAAACCCCAGGUUCGAUUCCUCAGUUCUA